GACAGAGGUGCCGAGCGUUUAGGCGGAAUCACUGGGCUUAAAGCGUGUGUAGGCGGGCGGGCAAGUACCUUGUGAAAUCCCACGGCUCAACCGUGGAACGGCUGGGUAUACUGCCUGUCUUGAGCCAACUAGGGGCGAGCGGAACAGACGGUGGAGCGGUGAAAUGCGUAGAUAUCGUCUGGAACGCCGAAGGUGAAAACAGCUCGCUGGGGUUGUGCUGACGCUGAUAACACGAAAGCCAGGGGAGCGAACGGG
rnacentral:rRNA from 1 species